GGAGGGGGUUAGCGUUGUUCGGAAUUACUGGGAGUAAAGCGCACGUAGGCGGAUUGGAAAGUAGGGGGUGAAAUCCCAGGGCUCAACCCUGGAACUGCCU
rnacentral:rRNA from 1 species